rnacentral:rRNA from 1 species
GACGAACGCUGGCGGCGUGCCUAAUACAUGCAAGUUGAGCGCUGAAGGUUGGUACUUGUACCAACUGGAUGAGCAGCGAACGGGUGAGUAACGCGUGGGGAAUCUGCCUUUGAGCGGGGGACAACAUGUGGAAACGAAUGCUAAUACCGCAUAAAAACUUUAAACACAAGUUUUAAGUUUGAAAGAUGCAAUUGCAUCACUCAAAGAUGAUCCCGCGUUGUAUUAGCUAGUUGGUGAGGUAAAGGCUCACCAAGGCGAUGAUACAUAGCCGACCUGAGAGGGUGAUCGGCCACAUUGGGACGGAGACACGGCCCAAACGGCUACGGGAGGCAGCAGUAGGGAAUCGUCGGCAAGGGACGAAAGUCUGACCGAGCAACGCCGCGUGAGUGAAGAAGGUUGUCGGAUCGUAAAACUCGGUUGGUAGAGAAGAACGUUGGUGAGAGUGGAAAGCUCAUCAAGUGACGGUAACUACUCAGAAAGGGACGGCUAACUACGUG